AUGCUGAACUCAGACAGUGCUGACGUUGUUUUAUAUUCCCUAUGUCAGAAGUACCGAAACACUGACAAGUUGAUAGUUCCCAGAUGGAUUCUUUUCCCUACUUUUGAUGCGCCGUCACUUGCGGCUACCAUGAAGCCUAGUGAAGAAUCUGGGCAUUGGUGCUUGAUUGUUCUGAAUUUGAGGUUCCGUCGUUUUGAGUGUCUUGAUUCACUCCGUGAUGAAACCUGGAGUGAUGCAGUUAGUUUCUUAAGGACUAUGAUAGAUAACAUAAAGAAGCUUUGGAGGGAGUCCAGCGUAGACAGGGCCAAACCGUUCUCGCCGCCGCAUAUUGAUGGUUUCUCUUGCGAGUUUGUGCGGGUGCCGCAGCAGAGAAACACCCAUGAAGACAUUCUUGACAUUAGGAAAACUUUUCUGUAUACCUGCGUAACUAGCGAUGUGUUUGAUGUUGACUUCUGGGGUUUGUUUGGCAUCGAACCCUGUGAGUGGUUGGAUCUUGGUGAGCAUGACUACAGGAUCUUUGGCAGCCAGUUCUCGGAAAGAUCUGGUGUUAUGAAGGGGCGGUUGGGAGCUCUGAAAGGUUCCACGGCUGCUUGUGCAGAUAGCCACAGUACACCCAAGAAUCCCAUUGUGGAAUUGAUAGACAGCGAUGACGAUGCGUUUGACAAAAUUACUGGCAUUGGAAGAGUCACCAGGAGCGCUGCUGCCAAGGGUUUAUCCCCCCUUGCUGGAAUAGUGGCCCGUAGAGCUAGUGCUGCUAGGAAGGAUCCUACUAUGGAUUCUGGCAAUGUUACAAGCACGAAGCGUGCACCCAGAGCUCCUAUAAAGUUUUGCUCCCCUGUGCAACAGCUUCACCCUCAUAAUUUCCCUCACCUGGACAAGGCUCGCAAGUUGUACAAUCUGUUGCUUAGUGAUGAAUGGCGUGAGAAGUAUGCCGAGAAUGUGUUCUCAAUGAUACCUCAGCCUGAUGAAAGCGUAACUAGCUUCACUGGGAAACGCAUCUGGGAAGUUUUUUCACCUGGGCAAAUGAUGGAGGGUGAUAUAAUGGACUUCCUCAUUGAUGAUUGGAAGCAAGAUCCCGAGAGAAAUGCUGAUUUUGCAUCUAGGAAAAGGGUAUUGCUGAGUCCAUAUUUCAUCACGGUUGUGCUUGACUGUACAUUUUAUGGUGGUGAAGAUAAAGAGUUUAAUGUGGACAGUGCAGCGAGAGAUUUCAAGAGCUAUGUUAAAGAUAAGGAAGACUUGCUCAGUGCCGACCUUAUUUCUAGAUUGGUUCAAGUAAUGAAGGCUGUGUAUGGUGAUGCUCAGUACAAUGCGAGCAAGUAG
rnacentral:rRNA from 1 species